rnacentral:rRNA from 1 species
GACGAACGCUGGCGGCGUGCCUAAUACAUGCAAGUGGAACGCAUUUUGAUUACCGUAGCUUGCUACACCGAUUAAAAUGAGUCGCGAACGGGUGAGUAACGCGUAGGUAACCUACCUCAUAGCGGGGGACAACUAUUGGAAACGAUAGCUAAUACCGCAUAAGACAUUUUAUCGCAUGAUAGGAUGUUAAAAGAUGCAACUGCAUCACUAUGAGAUGGACCUGCGUUGUAUUAGCUAGUUGGUGAGGUAACGGCUCACCAAGGCUGCGAUACAUAGCCGACCUGAGAGGGUGAUCGGCCACACUGGGACUGAGACACGGCCCAGACUCCUACGGGAGGCAGCAGUAGGGAAUCUUCGGCAAUGGGGGCAACCCUGACCGAGCAACGCCGCGUGAGUGAAGAAGGUUUUCGGAUCGUAAAGCUCUGUUGUAAGCGAAGAACAGUGAUAGGAGUGGAAAAUCUAUCACAUGACGGUAGCUUACCAGAAAGGGACGGCUAACUACGUGCCAGCAGCCGCGGUAAUACGUAGGUCUCGAGCGUUGUCCGGAUUUAUUGGGCGUAAAGCGAGCGCAGGCGGUUAGAUAAGUCAGAAGUUAAAGGCUGUGGCUCAACCAUAGUACGCUUUUGAAACUGUUUAACUUGAGUGCAGAAGGGGAGAGUGGAAUUUCCAUGUGUAGCGGUGAAAUGCGUAGAUAUAUGGAGGAACACCGGUGGCGAAAGCGGCUCUCUGGUCUGUCACUGACGCUGAGGCUCGAAAGCGUGGGUAGCGAACAGGAUUAGAUACCCUGGUAGUCCACGCCGUAAACGAUGAGUGCUAGGUGUUAGGCCCUUUCCGGGGCUUAGUGCCGCAGCUAACGCAUUAAGCACUCCGCCUGGGGGGUACGACCGCAAGGUUGAAACUCAAAGGAAUUGACGGGGGCCCGCACAAGCGGUGGAGCAUGUGGUUUAAUUCGAAGCAACGCGAAGAACCUUACCAGGUCUUGACAUCCCUCUGACCGGUCUAGAGAUAGACUUUCCCUUCGGGGCAGAGGAGACAGGUGGUGCAUGGUUGUCGUCAGCUCGUGUCGUGAGAUGUUGGGUUAAGUCCCGCAACGAGCGCAACCCUUAUUGUUAGUUGCCAUCAUUAAGUUGGGCACUCUAGCGAGACUGCCGGUAAUAAAUCGGAGGAAGGUGGGGAUGACGUCAAAUCAUCAUGCCCCUUAUGACCUGGGCUACACACGUGCUACAAUGGUUGGUACAACGAGUCGCAAGCCGGUGACGGCAAGCUAAUCUCUUAAAGCUAAUCUCAGUUCGGAUUGUAGGCUGCAACUCGCCUACAUGAAGUCGGAAUCGCUAGUAAUCGCGGAUCAGCACGCCGCGGUGAAUACGUUCCCGGGCCU